rnacentral:rRNA from 1 species
AGAGUUUGAUCCUGGCUCAGGAUGAACGCUAGCGGCAGGCUUAACACAUGCGAGUCGAGGGGCAGCAUGUCCAGCAAUGGAUGAUGGCGACCGGCGGAAGGGUGCGUAACGCGUGAGCAACAUGCCCUAUACAGGGAGAUACACCAGGGAAACUUGGUCUAAUAUCCCAUAGCAUUCAUUGAAGGCAUCUUUAAUGAAUUAAAGCUUCGGUGGUAUAGGAUUGGCUCGCGUGACAUUAGCCAGAUGGUGAGGUAACGGCUCACCAUAGCAAUGAUGUCUAGGGGUUUUGAGAGGAAGGCCCCCCACACUGGGACUGAGACACGGCCCAGACUCCUACGGGAGGCAGCAGUGAGGAAUAUUGGACAAUGGAUGGAAAUCUGAUCCAGCCAUGCCGCGUGCAGGAAGACGGCCUUAUGGGUUGUAAACUGCUUUUAUACGGGAGCAAUAAGGGUUACGAGUAAUCCGAUGAGAGUACUGUAUGAAUAAGGAUCGGCUAACUCCGUGCCAGCAGCCGCGGUAAUACGGAGGAUCCGAGCGUUAUUCGGAUUUAUUGGGUUUAAAGGGUGCGUAGGCGGAAAUGUAAGUCAGUGGUGAAAUCCUGCAGCUUAACUGUAGAAUAGCCGUUGAAACUGUGUUUCUUGAGUACAUUUGAGGUAGGCGGAAUGUGGUGUGUAGCGGUGAAAUGCAUAGAUAUACCACAGAACACCGAUUGCGAAGGCAGCUUACUAAACUGUCACUGACGCUGAUGCACGAAAGCGUGGGUAUCAAACAGGAUUAGAUACCCUGGUAGUCCACGCUGUAAACGAUGAUUACUGGUUGUUUGCGAUACACUGCAAGUGACUGAGCGAAAGCAUUAAGUAAUCCACCUGGGGAGUACGUCGGCAACGAUGAAACUCAAAGGAAUUGACGGGGGCCCGCACAAGCGGAGGAACAUGUGGUUUAAUUCGAUGAUACGCGAGGAACCUUACCUGGGUUUAAAUGGGGAGUGACAGGCUUGGAAACAGGCCCUUCUUCGGACACUCUUCAAGGUGCUGCAUGGUUGUCGUCAGCUCGUGCCGUGAGGUGUCGGGUUAAGUCCCAUAACGAGCGCAACCCCUAUCGAUAGUUACCAGCACGUUACGGUGGGGACUCUAUCGAGACUGCCGGUGUAAACCGUGAGGAGGGUGGGGAGGACGUCAAAUCAGCACGGCCCUUACAUCCAGGGCUACACACGUGUUACAAUGGGGGGUACAGUGGGAAGCUACCUGGCGACAGGUUGCGGAUCCCCAAAUCCUUUCUCAGUUCGGAUCGGAGUCUGUAACUCGACUCCGUGAAGUUGGAUUCGCUAGUAAUCGCGCAUCAGCCAUGGCGCGGUGAAUACGUUCCCGGGCCUUGCACUCACCGCCCGUCA